AUUGCAGCACCAAAGGGAGUUUGUAAAAACAAAUAUGGGCAAGAUAGAGAAAAAGAGUGAAAAGUCAUUUUACUGAAUGUUACAACUUCAUCAGCCAUGGAAUUCAUAUAAAAAAGCUACAAUCAUCUAAUUUCAGAACCAAACUUUUUGGCUUUUGAUCAAGAUUUAAAUGGUAGCUGGUGCACAAAGCAUCCCGCAUUCACGCCGCGUCCGGUAAAUGGCCGCACCCCUUGGGGUGCGAUGUAGGCAAUCUACCCUAAUGCAAGCAUCAGUGACUGAUUUCUCGGUUCAAACCCGUGACCUAUAGAUCAUACGAAGAUAACUUUUGAUCAAGAUUGAGUAAAUUUUAGUCUAAUCCUAGUAAACAUAAAUUUCAUAGAAUGGACUGUUUGCUCUUCCAUUCAUGUUCCUGAAUCUAAAACAAGAUCCUGCCGCCUUAGAUGAAAAGCAUCAUCCAAAAGAAUAAGAUUCCUGCAAAAAUAAAACAGAAAACAAAAAAGGAUUUAAGUUCUAUACUGGACAAUUAAAAGAUAACUACAUGUAACUAUUAACCGUUCAAAGAAAAUGAGAUUACCUGCUAGAACAGUUUAAAAUACAGUACAUUGAUCAAUGUAUUCAAGUUAAAUUCAAAAGAAAAGGAAAUUGUUCAUCUCUUGAAAUGUGUUCAUGGAAUUUGGUAGCAGACACAUAUUAUGCUACAUGUGAGUAUUAGGGAGUGUUGAUUUCUUCCAUAUUUUUC
rnacentral:lncRNA from 1 species